rnacentral:rRNA from 1 species
GAUGAACGCUAGCGGCAGGCCUAAUACAUGCAAGCCGAACGGUAAUUCUGAUAGCAAUAUUGGAACUAGAGUGGCGUAAGGGUGCGUAACACGUAUGCAAUCUACCCGCAACAGGAGGAUAGCUCCCCGAAAGGGGAAUUAACCCUCCAUGAGAUCACACGAGGGCAUCCGAGAGUGAUUAAAUUUGAGGAGGUUGUGGAUGAGCAUGCGACUGAUAGCUAGUUGGCAGUGUAACGGACUACCAAGGCGAUGAUCAGUAGGGGAACUGAGAGGUUGAUCCCCCACACUGGCACUGAGAUAC